GAUGAACGCUGGCGGCGUGCCUAACACAUGCAAGUCGAGCGAAGCACUUUGCUUGGAUUCUUCGGAUGAAGAGGAUUGUGACUGAGCGGCGGACGGGUGAGUAACGCGUGGGUAACCUGCCUCAUACAGGGGGAUAACAGUUAGAAAUGACUGCUAAUACCGCAUAAGACCACAGCACCGCAUGGUGCAGGGGUAAAAACUCCGGUGGUGUGAGAUGGACCCGCGUUGGAUUAGCCAGUUGGCAGGGUAACGGCCUACCAAAGCGACGAUCCAUAGCCGGCCUGAGAGGGUGAACGGCCACAUUGGGACUGAGACACGGCCCAG
rnacentral:rRNA from 1 species